GACAGAGGGUGCAAACGUUGCUCGGAAUCACUGGGCGUAAAGGGCGUGUAGGCGGGUAGAUAAGUCGGGCGUGAAAUCCCUAGGCUCAACCUAGGAACUGCACUCGAAACUGUUUAUCUUGAGUGCCGGAGAGGAAAGCGGAAUUCCUGGUGUAGAGGUGAAAUUCGUAGAUAUCAGGAGGAACACCAGUGGCGAAGGCGGCUUUCUGGACGGU
rnacentral:rRNA from 1 species